UUAUCAGUUAAUUAUAUUUUCUUUCCUAAUCCUAAAUAUAUGAAGUAAAAAAAAAUAAAAAAUCCAAGACAGAACACAAUAAUGGAAACUGAGAACGAGAAGAAGCUCAAACUCCGCCGUUCCUAAUCCUCUGUUGUCUCUCGUCAAGCUCGCAACUCAAGCUCCCACUUCAAUCUCUCGUUCAAUCUCUCCUUCAAUCUCUCGUUUCCGUCGAAGAAGCUCGCAACUCUCUUCAAUCUCUUGUCGCGCAUCUCUCCUCUCCGUUGCCGUCGUUUUCACGAUUCCAAUCUAAAAAGAGCUACUCGGAAAGUGACAGUGUUACAAAUGGCUACUAGAGCUGCUCGGAAAGGGACAAUUUAAAAUAGCAAGGAUGAUUCUUUGUUUUUUAUGAAGGGGUUAUCGGAAGAGUAGAAAGGGUGGUUUGUCAGCAUGGGAGCAGGCAGGAGCUCAAGAGUGGUUAGAAGUUGUCACUGAAGAUUUGGAAGGAUCUUCACCAAAUAGGUUUUUUUGGUGUAGACUUUACUUUCAAUUUGUUAGACAUAUAUUUGAUUUGUUUUUCUUAGUGUUAUUGUUGUAUAACAUAAUGGUUGCCAAUCUCUUGAGAUUCUAAAAAUUUACACCAAA